rnacentral:rRNA from 1 species
CAGGCUUAACACAUGCAAGUCGAGGGGCAGCAUUUUAGUUUGCUUGCAAACUGAAGAUGGCGACCGGCGCACGGGUGAGUAACACGUAUCCAACCUGCCGAUAACUCCGGGAUAGCCUUUCGAAAGAAAGAUUAAUACCGGAUAGCAUACGAAUAUCGCAUGAUAUUUUUAUUAAAGAAUUUCGGUUAUCGAUGGGGAUGCGUUCCAUUAGUUUGUUGGCGGGGUAACGGCCCACCAAGACUACGAUGGAUAGGGGUUCUGAGAGGAAGGUCCCCCACAUUGGAACUGAGACACGGUCCAAACUCCUACGGGAGGCAGCAGUGAGGAAUAUUGGUCAAUGGGCGCGAGCCUGAACCAGCCAAGUAGCGUGAAGGAUGAAGGCUCUAUGGGUCGUAAACUUCUUUUAUAUGGGAAUAAAGUUUUCCACGUGUGGAAUUUUGUAUGUACCAUAUGAAUAAGGAUCGGCUAACUCCGUGCCAGCAGCCGCGGUAAUACGGAGGAUCCGAGCGUUAUCCGGAUUUAUUGGGUUUAAAGGGAGCGUAGGUGGAUUGUUAAGUCAGUUGUGAAAGUUUGCGGCUCAACCGUAAAAUUGCAGUUGAAACUGGCAGUCUUGAGUACAGUAGAGGUGGGCGGAAUUCGUGGUGUAGCGGUGAAAUGCUUAGAUAUCACGAAGAACUCCGAUUGCGAAGGCAGCUCACUAGACUGUCACUGACACUGAUGCUCGAAAGUGUGGGUAUCAAACAGGAUUAGAUACCCUGGUAGUCCACACAGUAAACGAUGAAUACUCGCUGUUUGCGAUAUACAGUAAGCGGCCAAGCGAAAGCAUUAAGUAUUCCACCUGGGGAGUACGCCGGCAACGGUGAAACUCAAAGGAAUUGACGGGGGCCCGCACAAGCGGAGGAACAUGUGGUUUAAUUCGAUGAUACGCGAGGAACCUUACCCGGGCUUAAAUUGCAACAGAAUAUAUUGGAAACAGUAUAGCCGUAAGGCUGUUGUGAAGGUGCUGCAUGGUUGUCGUCAGCUCGUGCCGUGAGGUGUCGGCUUAAGUGCCAUAACGAGCGCAACCCUUAUCUUUAGUUACUAACAGGUCAUGCUGAGGACUCUAGAGAGACUGCCGUCGUAAGAUGUGAGGAAGGUGGGGAUGACGUCAAAUCAGCACGGCCCUUACGUCCGGGGCUACACACGUGUUACAAUGGGGGGUACAGAAGGCGGCUACCUGGUGACAGGAUGCUAAUCCCAAAAACCUCUCUCAGUUCGGAUCGAAGUCUGCAACCCGACUUCGUGAAGCUGGAUUCGCUAGUAAUCGCGCAUCAGCCAUGGCGCGGUGAAUACGUUCCCGGGACUUGUACACACCGCCCGUCAAGCCAUGAAAGCCGGGGGUACCUGAAGUACGUAACCGCAAGGAGCGUCCUAGGGUAAAACUGGUAAUUG